rnacentral:lncRNA from 1 species
GCAGGACGUCCUCUAAAGCAACUUCCGUGGGUGCCAGGUUGUGGGCUGGGGGCGGUGCUGACCUUGAGAGAGCGGAGGAGGCGCAGGCGCAGCACAGUUUAAACUUGAUUUUGUGAGGGGACGAACAGCGUGACAAUUAAAAGAAGAUCUGGGAAUCAAAAGCUUCCUGAGGCCUUCACCAGAAGCAGAUGCUGGUGCCGUGCUUCUACAGCCUGCAGAACUGAAGGACUUUACAGCUUCUCUUUCGCAUAUCCAAAUUGCCAGCAUCACCGCUCUUGCACUCCAAGCCAUUAUUAAGUAAAGUAAAGAACACAAACACUGUGAUACUGCUACACUUGAUCUGAUAACCAAGAAGUCUACUAAGUGACUAACAGCAGAGCAACUGGGAACCUAAUUCUGACCAAAAAGGAGGAAUUGUUUGGCUAAUUGGAAGUGACAGAAACCUUGGGAGAAAGCAACCGCAUACCAAGGAUAAUUAUAAGAAGAAGAGAAGACAUGGAGAAGAGGAGGGAGUAGUUGUGACCGUGGAGGCAGAGAAUGGAGUAAUGUGAUCAUAAAUCAAGGAAUGCUGACAGCCACUAAAGCUGGAGAAGGCCAAGGACAGAUAUUCAAUCCUCCCGUAGAAGUACAGCCCUGCUAAUGCAUUGAUUUUGGACUUCUGGCCUCAGAACUAUCCAAUGUGAUAAUUUAUGUGAAAUCUUUCUGCAAACUAUACAGUAUGAUAAAAAUAUAAGGUAGUUUCACUGGAAACAACAGAAGACUAGAAGCUGAUGUGACGUGGCAAUAUCAACCAGGAAUACCCAUCUCGAGUUCUGGAUAUGUGCUCUGAGAAGGUGCCCAUGUCACCGACCACACUGGAGGCCAAUGCAGAUACUGGGGGAAGGUUCCAUGGUAGCUAAGUGUGGACAAGCUAAUCACUGAAGUUCCCUGAUGCAGAGUUGAUAAUCUCUCUAGAGUUGGAUGAAAGACUGUGCUGCCUUGAAGCUCUGAGAGAUGCCAUGCCAAUUCAAGGCAGGGUCUUUAUUGUUGAAACUCUUGCGUAAUGACAUCUUUAUUCAGGUGAAAAUACAGGAUGAAUUUCAACUAUAUGAUAUUGUUUAUGUUCCUCAGACAUGUUAUUUGUCUUUACAAAGAUUGGUUUCAAUAAACUGUGUGACUGAUAUUAAAUAAACAUGGAAUUUUACACAUUCAUAAU